CAGACAGGGCUCAAUCGACUCAAUCGAUAUUCUGUGCCCUCGAUAUACUGUGCCUUCGAUAUACUGUGCCCUCGAUAUUCUGUGCAGUCGAUAUUCUGGACAUUAUAAACAUCCUUAAAGUUCUCUACCACUGUAAUGUUGGCGUCUGGGUCGUCUUCUACUUCCUCGUCGUGACACAUCGCCUCGGACUCACGUUUAAUCGUGCUGACGGUGGAGUAACCUUCCAGGUCUGUCUCCGUCUCAUCGUCGGGUGUUUCGAUUUCCGAGGCAACGCCCAACGUAUAGACCUUUGUGGUCACAGAGCUGAACCUGAAGUUAAGCACGCCUUUGGCAGCUUCAAUCGAGGCCAGCGACUCCUAAUUGAGGACGACCACUGGUCGCCUGGUUUGAAGGGCCACUUUGAUCACCUUCCAGUCCGAUGUUGGAAGGUGGGGGUUACAUCGCUGCAGCAUUUUUAGGAUGCGAUCAGGCUCAUUUAUAGAGGCGGACACCCAGACUCUCGCCCUUGGUCUAGUGGCCCAGGAAGCUCCUGCGAGUGUUGUAUCUUUAGCUGAAGGGCUCUUCUUUCUUUCUUCUUCUUCGGCGCGUCUGAGCCGAGGUUCGACAUCACCAGCACUACUGCUUUCGGCGUAUGUGUAUGUUUUGGCUAGGGUGCUAGUCGAUGCCAACUUAUCUCCCGACACCUCACCAGCAGGUAGAGCAGCCGCAGGAUUGCAUGGUAUUCGAAUAUUUUGAGUAGAUGCACCUGCGUUCGAAAAAACGGCACUCUUUGUACCAACAUGGUCCCUAUGAUUUUCAUAUGGAUAAAAAAAUCUUGCGUCUGCUGCAAGGCGCAAAAACGCAUAAAGUAGCAGCAGUGUGAACAGCCUAUAACAAAUAACUAGUGCCAAUGGUUAUUCAUGCUUAAAUUCUACGUCAUAUCUAUACAAACCAAAAGCAAUGUAUCAUAUGGAGUGUACUAUUCUUAUAGCCUAUUCUCACUGGCGACCAUCCAUCAUGAAUUUUUGUAAUGGUCCGAAAGGUUUUAACGUUUAGAAAAAGAUUGCCACUAUCCAUCGAGGAUAUUCCUAUACCGCACGUUUAUAUGCGAUAAAUAGCAUAUAUGUAGUUUUUAAAUGCAACGCUGAAAAAAAAUAUAUGUCAAUAAAAACUAAUUCGCGCUUAGACAUUUUAAAUUUCAGAUCGUUCAAGGCAAAAAUUCACCAUAAACAAUAUAAAAUGGAGAACAAAAACUGGUUAUGGUUGAAGGGAGUGCGGAAAUGGAAAAUUUUGCAUAACAAGUCGGAUUUGCGGGGAGCCUGUAAUGAAGCAAUGAAGCCCUAGCAUGCUUUCUGCGGCCAAGGCGCCCCACCAAAUCAAACAAAACUGGACAACCUUCUGUAGAUUGGUCGGAAAAUGCUGGAAGUCCAGAAGGAGCAGCAGAAAACCAAUUAAGACAUUCCCAGUAAAUUGCGAGCAGACAGGCCAAACCAACUUCCAAACAGAUCUGCUGCAAUUUUUAAGGGAGUCCAAAGCGUAAUGAUAUAGGUUACUCAUAUAUAUAGUUUUAUUAUAGCCAAUAAAAUAUCCAAUUUAUGUAUUUCAAA